UACGAAGGGGGCUAGCGUUGUUCGGAAUCACUGGGCGUAAAGGGCGCGUAGGCGGCUUUAUAAGUCGGGGGUGAAAGCCUGUGGCUCAACCACAGAAUUGCCUUCGAUACUGUAGGGCUUGAGACCGGAAGAGGUUAGUGGAACUGCGAGUGUAGAGGUGAAAUUCGUAGAUAUUCGCAAGAACACCAGUGGCGAAGGCGGCUAACUGGUCCGGUUCUGACGCUGAGACACGAAAGCCAGGGGAGCAAACGGG
rnacentral:rRNA from 1 species